UCUGCGCUGGGGCUACAGCGCUGCGGUGCCAGUGUAGACACUGUGGUGGUUACAGCACUGCGAUUGGCCUCCAGGAGGUGUCCCAAAAUGCCUGUUCUCACCUCUUGUCAUCAGUUUGAACGCUACUGCCCUGCGGUGACCAACCAUCAUCCCCACCCAAAAUUCCUUUGGAAAUUUGAAAGUCCCCUUCCUGUUUGCUGGUGAUGUGUGCAGUGGCCUCAGCGCAUCUUUCCAGGUGGCCAUGCCUGCUCCACGCACCAGGCGAUCACACUCUUGGAGCAAUGCCGAGCUGCUGGACCUCAUCAGCAUUUGGGGAGAGGAGGCUGUCCAGUCCCAGCUGAGCUCCAGACGUAGGAAUUAUGACACCUACCGACAGAUUUCACAGUGCAUGACAGAAAGGGGCCAUGACUGGGACACAUUGCAGUGCAGGGUCAAAGUGAAGGAGCUGCGGAACGUUUACAAGAAGGCAUGAGAGGCAAACCGCCACUCCGGGGCUGGGCCCACGAACUGUUGGUUCUACGAAAGCUGGACGCGAUACUUGGCAGCAACCCCAUGUUAAUUGCAAAGACCACUGUGGAUACUUCAUUGGCUCGCAUGCCAGUCGAGAGUUGACUGAGACAGGAGGAGGAAAUCUUGGAUGAGGAUGUGGAUGGGGAAGGGGACCCAGAGGCAGAGGAUGACUCGGAGGCCAGACAUGCAUGCAGCCAGGAGCUCUUUUCUACCUCGGAGGAGACUAGCCAGCCACAGCUGUCGGAGAUUGGCAAAGUGCAAACAGGAGAGGAGGCCCCUGAGAUGACCAUGGGAGCCCAGCCUCCCCCUUAGUUAUCAGCGGCUGAACGGCUGCUCAGAAUUAGAAAGCGGCCAAGAAGACCUAAGGAGGACUUUCUGUGUGAUGUUAUGAUGCA